rnacentral:misc_RNA from 1 species
AUUUUACCGUUAUUUCAGUGGUUCUAAUUUCACUCAAUUCUCGCCGUUGCACAAUCGAGGGCUGGCUGUUAAUUAUCCUCGAAGAAACAAUGAACAAACUUCCACCAAACGUGAAAAAAAUACGACUGAUAAGAGGAUUCCGUUUCACUCGGUUUCAAAACGAUUCUUUCCGGAUUGCCUCUGCCCUGGGCCGAAUAUUUUCUUCGACAGCCGGUCUCUGAUAUUUCAAGCGCGUCGACGGAAAU